CUGGUUCAAGAAUAAAUGUAUAAAAUUCACACUCGUAAUUUCCAUUUACAAAAUCCUUCAAAGUUCAAAAUUAGUUCAAUCGAGUCAAAUGCCCAAAAUCCUGAUUUUUAUCGCAUAUUGGCCUGGCAGUCGUAUGUCUUGUGAUCAUAGUGAUAAACCUCUUCAAGUCACUCUGCAUGUGGCGUUGGACAAAAUAAUGAAUAAAGCAACGGGCACGAAUUCGCCUUUUAGCGU